ACUCUAAGCGGUGGAUCACUCGGCUCAUGGGUCGAUGAAGAACGCAGCAAACUGUGCGUCAUCGUGUGAACUGCAGGACACAUGAACAUCGACAUUUUGAACGCAUAUCGCAGUCCAUGCUGUUAUGUACUUUAAUUAAUUUUAUAGUGCUGCUUGGACUACAUAUGGUUGAGGGUUGUAAGACUAUGCUAAUUAAGUUGCUUAUAAAUUUUUAUAAGCAUAUGGUAUAUUAUUGGAUAAAUAUAAUAAUUUUUAUUCAUAAUAUUAAAAAAUAAAUGAAAAACAUUAUCUCACAUUUGAAUGUGAAAAACGAAGAGAAAUAUUUUCUUUUUCAAUCAAAUAAUACUGAGAAAUGUCUAGCAUAAAAAAUUGAAAUAUUUUUCAUCUAGAAUUGUCUCUUAUUAAUGAUUCGGAAAUAGAAAAAUCUUGGUUAUGUUAUUAUUCUUCGUUGGUUCGUUAAAAAUGGAUAAAUAAAAACUUUGCAUACAAGAAUUAAUAAAAAUGUUAUAACGAAUUUAAUUAAAUGUUUUAUCAUUAUAUAUAAAGAAUUUAUGGCAAGAUAAAGUUAUAUACAACCUCAACUCAUAUGGGACUACCCCCUGAAUUUAAGCAUAUUAAUUAGGGGAGGAAAAGAAACUAACAAGGAUUUUCUUAGUAGCGGCGAGCGAAAAGAAAACAGUUCAGCACUAAGUCACUUUGUCUAUAUGGCAAAUGUGAGAUGCAGUGUAUGGAGCGUCAAUAUUCUAGUAUGAGAAAUUAACGAUUUAAGUCCUUCUUAAAUGAGGCCAUUUACCCAUAGAGGGUGCCAGGCCCGUAUAACGUUAAUGAUUACUAGAUGAUGUUUCCAAAGAGUCGUGUUGCUUGAUAGUGCAGCACUAAGUGGGUGGUAAACUCCAUCUAAAACUAAAUAUAACCAUGAGACCGAUAGUAAACAAGUACCGUGAGGGAAAGUUGAAAAGAACUCUGAAUAGAGAGUUAAACAGUACGUGAAACUGCUUAGAGGUUAAGCCCGAUGAACCUGAAUAUCCGUUAUGGAAAAUUCAUCAUUAAAAUUGUAAUAUUUAAAUAAUAUUAUGAGAAUAGUGUGCAUUUUUUCCAUAUAAGGACAUUGUAAUCUAUUAGCAUAUACCAAAUUUAUCAUAAAAUAUAACUUAUAGUUUAUUCCAAUUAAAUUGCUUGCAUUUUAACACAGAAUAAAUGUUAUUAAUUUGAUAAAGUGCUGAUAGAUUUAUAUGAUUACAGUGCGUUAAUUUUUCGGAAUUAUAUAAUGGCAUAAUUAUCAUUGAUUUUUGUGUUUAUUAUAUGCACUUGUAUGAUUAACAAUGCGAAAGAUUCAGGAUACCUUCGGGACCCGUCUUGAAACACGGACCAAGGAGUCUAACAUAUGUGCAAGUUAUUGGGAUAUAAACCUAAUAGCGUAAUUAACUUGACUAAUAAUGGGAUUAGUUUUUUAGCUAUUUAUAGCUAAUUAACACAAUCCCGGGGCGUUCUAUAUAGUUAUGUAUAAUGUAUAUUUAUAUUAUUUAUGCCUCUAACUGGAACGUACCUUGAGCAUAUAUGCUGUGACCCGAAAGAUGGUGAACUAUACUUGAUCAGGUUGAAGUCAGGGGAAACCCUGAUGGAAGACCGAAACAGUUCUGACGUGCAAAUCGAUUGUCAGAAUUGAGUAUAGGGGCGAAAGACCAAUCGAACCAUCUAGUAGCUGGUUCCUUCCGAAGUUUCCCUCAGGAUAGCUGGUGCAUUUUAAUAUUAUAUAAAAUAAUCUUAUCUGGUAAAGCGAAUGAUUAGAGGCCUUAGGGUCGAAACGAUCUUAACCUAUUCUCAAACUUUAAAUGGGUAAGAACCUUAACUUUCUUGAUAUGAAGUUCAAGGUUAUGAUAUAAUGUGCCCAGUGGGCCACUUUUGGUAAGCAGAACUGGCGCUGUGGGAUGAACCAAACGUAAUGUUACGGUGCCCAAAUUAACAACUCAUGCAGAUACCAUGAAAGGCGUUGGUUGCUUAAAACAGCAGGACGGUGAUCAUGGAAGUCGAAAUCCGCUAAGGAGUGUGUAACAACUCACCUGCCGAAGCAACUAGCCCUUAAAAUGGAUGGCGCUUAAGUUGUAUACCUAUACAUUACCGCUAAAGUAGAUGAUUUAUAUUACUUGUGAUAUAAAUUUUGAAACUUUAGUGAGUAGGAAGGUACAAUGGUAUGCGUAGAAGUGUUUGGCGUAAGCCUGCAUGGAGCUGCCAUUGGUACAGAUCUUGGUGGUAGUAGCAAAUAAUCGAAUGAGACCUUGGAGGACUGAAGUGGAGAAGGGUUUCGUGUGAACAGUGGUUGAUCACGAGUUAGUCGGUCCUAAGUUCAAGGCGAAAGCCGAAAAUUUUCAAGUAAAACAAAAAUGCCUAACUAUAUAAACAAAGCGAAUUAUAAUACACUUGAAUAAUUUUGAACGAAAGGGAAUACGGUUCCAAUUCCGUAACCUGUUGAGUAUCCGUUUGUUAUUAAAUAUGGGCCUCGUGCUCAUCCUGGCAACAGGAACGACCAUAAAGAAGCCGUCGAGAGAUAUCGGAAGAGUUUUCUUUUCUGUUUUAUAGCCGUACUACCAUGGAAGUCUUUCGCAGAGAGAUAUGGUAGAUGGGCUAGAAGAGCAUGACAUAUACUGUUGUGUCGAUAUUUUCUCCUCGGACCUUGAAAAUUUAUGGUGGGGACACGCAAACUUCUCAACAGGCCGUACCAAUAUCCGCAGCUGGUCUCCAAGGUGAAGAGUCUCUAGUCGAUAGAAUAAUGUAGGUAAGGGAAGUCGGCAAAUUAGAUCCGUAACUUCGGGAUAAGGAUUGGCUCUGAAGAUUGAGAUAGUCGGGCUUGAUUGGGAAACAAUAACAUGGUUUAUGUGCUCGUUCUGGGUAAAUAGAGUUUCUAGCAUUUAUGUUAGUUACUUGUUCCCCGGAUAGUUUAGUUACGUAGCCAAUUGUGGAACUUUCUUGCUAAAAUUUUUAAGAAUACUAUUUGGGUUAAACCAAUUAGUUCUUAUUAAUUAUAACGAUUAUCAAUUAACAAUCAAUUCAGAACUGGCACGGACUUGGGGAAUCCGA
rnacentral:rRNA from 1 species